CGCCUCUUGUUAAUAAUAAGAGGUCCAGCCUGCCCAGUGACAAAGUUCAACGGCCGCGGUACCCUAACCGAGCGAAGGUAGCAUAAUCACUUGUUCUUUAAAUAAGGACUUGUAUCAAUGGCACCACGAGGGUCGUACUGUCUCCUUUCUCCAAUCAGUGAAACUGAUCUUCCCGUGAAAAAGCGGGAAUACACAUAUAAGACGAGAAGACCCCAUGGAGCUUUAAACCUCCAGCAACUUAACUAUAAAUUUCUUCACAACCCCAAAGAAAUGCUCGUUGGUUUUAGGUUGGGGUGACCACGGAGUAAAAACCAACCUCCGCAACGCAUAAACCUAAAUUUUUAUUUAAGAGCCACAACUCUAAAAAAUAGUAUACUAACGUACACUGAUCCGAUAAUCGAUUAAUGAACCAAGUUACCCUGGGGAUAACAGCGCAAUCUAUUUUAAGAGUUCAUAUCGACAAAUAGGCUUACGACCUCGAUGUUGGAUCAGGGUAUCCCAGUGGUGCAGCCGCUACUGAUGGUUCGUUUGUUCAACGAUUAAAACCCUACGUGAUCU
rnacentral:rRNA from 1 species